CACAUAAUACAGUAGAAGAGGGGAGUGGGCAGGCAGCUAGGUUAGUUUAAGUUACUAAUUCUGUUUAGAGUUAAGUCUAACUUCAGAAAUUGUAACAGUUGUGAAGGAAUUCCAUAUAAGGUUUUUCUUUUCGUUCAUCUUCUUCUUCAUUUUCUUCAUCAUCCUGUUCGUUUCUCUCUGAUCGGAUACUUGCAGACACAGGCGCCAGAGGCAUAAUCGGAAGCAUUAAGCUUUGACAAGAUUUCUUGGUAUGAUAUGGAGAAAAAGAGAAGUGAACCAGUUAAAAAAGUCAUGGUGUUCGGUGUGACUUUAAUGCAAUUAUUUGUUAGGGGAAUCUCCAUGAUGGCAAUGCUGUAAUUGUUCAGAGGCAGCACCAAGAUCCUUCUACCUCUAAGAAGAGGAAAUUUGCAAAUAGGCAGUUCUCUUUCAUGUCCAUUUAAAUAUGCUUUUGACUUCUUUUUUUGCAAUUUUGGUGUCUUUUCAAAUUACAACAGUGCAUAUGUCUCACGUGCUCUACUUACUUUAUUCCUCUCAGUGAAGGGCAUCUCGAUCUGUUUCUCAAAGCACUCGAAGAGGAUCAAAAUUAGGGAGGCAAGCUUCUGAAUCCUAAUCUGUCUCUCAAAAGUUAGAAUACUAGAAUUUUUUUCUUGGAUUGAAAUGGGUAGACAGUUGAUAAUUUCUUCUUCCUCUCCUUUAAUGACUUUUAUCGAAUGGAACUACCUUUUGUUUAUUGGUAGUCCAUGUUUUUGUUUUUGUCAAGCUUGUCUUAUGGAGCAUUUUGCAUUAUUAGGGGGCCACUGUGCAAAACAUAGAAGUUGAUAAUUACAUUUAGGACAUGAUGACUCUUUUCAACUCGGUUGCGUUGAGAAACCAAAGGAAGGAAUGUUGGGUUGUUUUAUUUUUUGGGUAUAAGAAGUUAGGGAAAUGGGGAACAAGAAAAUGACAAUACCACCAUUGAAAUGUAAGCUAAUAGAAUUUGUGGUUUCUUGUAAGCUUUGCACAAGCAUUUUAUUUCUUGAUAGUUGGGUUAGCCUUACUCAAACGAUCAUGGAUGGUCCUGGAAUGUAGUGUACUUGGUUCAAGUUGGGCUAGUUUGUCAGAUGUCUUGAAUGUUUAAUGUUUUUAGAUGUUUGUUAUGUUUUACAUCACAUCCUUUAAAGAGUUAUUGAGUGUAGAUUAAAAUUUCCUACAUGAUUUAUAAUCUAAGUUGAGUUUCGAUGUGAGGUUUAGAAAAGGACAUAGAAUCUGUGGCAUCUAGUUCUCCUCCAAUCCCAUGCCCCAUUCCUGCAUAAUUAACUGUACUUCUGAAUGAUGUGAAGCUAUUGGCGGUGAUGACAAUAAUGAACAAUUAUAAUUGAUAAAUAUUGGUAAUUGAGUGCUUUCAUGAAAUCUUCACUAUCUUCAGCUCUCAUGUUGUUUUGAUACUAUUUAGUGCUUCUGUUGAUAAAUUUUAAAACUGCCUGAUGCACCAUUCUGAUAUUAUUGCAGGUAAGCAGAAAUAAUUACUGAGGAAAAAGAAAAGAAAAAGGAGGCUUCUACAUGUCGAAAUGGAAUGGAACUGCAUUGAUUGAUCCCUGCAAUACAAAUUUUUUUUUGGAUAACCAUGUCCGGGUUUUAUACUUUUACUAUAUCAAGUGCUAUACAAUGUUUUGCUGCUUGGUUCGACUUUUUUGAACAUGGACGUUGAGAUUUUUCUAGUCAUUCAUUACCCUAUGGAAAAAAUACCAUGUAGAUUCAUCACUGCUUAUGUUUGUAACUUUAGUCAUUCUCUUUUUUCGUUUGUUGCCCUCUUUUCUAAUCUCAGCUGUAGGUUCCCUCCUUAGUCUUCUUCCAUCUCAUCCCAGCCAUUUUGUGCUUUAUGCGUACCUUAGGGGUUCAAAUAUGCAAUGAGGUACAUAUUCGAAUUCUUGAACUGCAUCUGCAUGAUGAAGGUGGUAGACCUUUCAAUUUGAUUGAAACCUUUAGUUUAGUAAGGAUUGCACUUUGCAGUCUUCUAAAAUUUAGUCAAGUUGUAAACUAUUAUUCAGCUCAAGAACGUAAUUUUUCAUGUCUUCCGAUCAAGACAUACUAAUAGAAUUUGUGGUUGGAGCAUUUUAUUUACUGGGCAGGAUUAUCCUUUUGAUGCUUGAUCCGGAGUUUCGGCAAUUAUAUAAUUUGAAACUAC